UUGGUAUCUUUGUCCAGUUAUGAGAAGCCCCAGCCAUCCGGGAAGCCAUCGUUAUGGUGCAGUGGAAUGCUUGCUAUAUUUCCUCAUGGAGAUGCACCUCUGGUGACAGGUGCUGACAGAAUUUCCAUCUUUGAGAGUGGCGGUACAGAGAACAUAGCUUCUAUGAUGCAUUGUCAGCUGACGGCUUAAAGUUCCCUCCUGUGUUUUCAAAGCCAGCAAUUGCAGGCUGCAUUGCUCUCACACUGUGAAUCUUCCUGUCCACUCCCACCUUGUACCAGAAUUAUGAGUAAGAUGAAUAGUCUGUUGUGGGACUCAUGAGAUCGACCAUCUCGUUCUAAUAUUACCACUAAAUGACCAGCUGGCUUUCGAUUUCUCCCCAUGCUGUAUUUACACAAUUAAUUUUGGAUGGGAGAGGUGGGACCUUCAGUGUACCUCAGGCUAACACGUUGACCAGUGGGAGCUCUGCAGGCACCUUGGAGAUACCAGGGAUCCCUCCUCUGCAUAUCAAGAAAUGCCGUAUACAUGAA
rnacentral:lncRNA from 1 species